rnacentral:rRNA from 1 species
CUACGGGCCGCAGCAGUGGGGAAUCUUGCACAAUGGGCGAAAGCCUGAUGCAGCAACGCCGCGUGCGGGAAGAAGGCCCUAGGGUUGUAAACCGCUUUCAGUAGGGAAGAAAAUGACGGUACCUACAGAAGAAGGUGCGGCCAACUACGUGCCAGCAGCCGCGGUGACACGUAGGCACCAAGCGUUAUCCGGAUUUAUUGGGCGUAAAGAGCUCGUAGGCGGGUUGGUAAGUCGGGUGUGAAAACUCUGGGCUCAACCCAGAGACGCCACCCGAUACUGCUAUGACUAGAGUACGGUAGGGGAGCGGGGAAUUCAUGGUGUAGCGGUGAAAUGCGCAGAUAUCAUGAGGAACACCAGCGGCGAAGGCGCCGCUCUGGGCCGUAACUGACGCUGAGGAGCGAAAGCAUGGGUAGCAAACAGGAUUAGAUACCCUCGUAGUC